UACGGAGGGUGCAAGCGUUAUCCGGAUUUACUGGGUUUAAAAGGGUGUGUAGGCGGACUUUUAAGUCUGGGGUGAAAUCUCCGAGCUCAACUCGGAAACUGCCUUGGAUACUAUUAGUCUUGAAUUAUGUUGAGGUUGGCGGAAUAUAACAUGUAGCGGUGAAAUGCAUAGAUAUGUUAUAGAACACCGAUUGCGAAGGCAGCUAACUAAGCAUAUAUUGACGCUGAGGCACGAAAGCGUGGGGAGUCAAACAGGA
rnacentral:rRNA from 1 species